UACUGUCCUAAAAUGUGCCAUUUCCCCUGAUUCCUCUCUCUCUCAACCCUGAUGCUGCCGCCGCCACCUGACCGGCAGAUCCGGCGCCGUACCACGGCCAUCGCUCAUAAGGUCGCCGGCGCGGCUCCCUCGCCCCUGGUUUGUAUUCCCACUACGUCGCGCUGCAGUCGGCUCAGGCAUGACGACGCUGCUCCGCCUCGGCUGUAUUGACGGUUAACGUGUACUACAGCUAAAACAUCUCUGGUUUGGAGGAUCUGGAAGAGCUUCAGGCUGCAUCGACUUUGGCUUCAGAAUGAAAUUUCCGAGCUCUGCAAACAACUUCCAACAUUGGAGUUGUACUCCAUGACGGGGAGAUUUGUGUCGGUCUAAUUAUUUGUUCCACUUGUCUCAUCAUGUGAUUUUUCCCUUGCAAUUUUUGUGCCUCUGAGAUGUCUGCUAAUAGUUUGUGAGUCUCUAAAUACUUGCAGUAAUCAUUAUUUUUGUAUGAACUAUCCUACACGUGAGGUUUCAAUCUGUUGACAAUAGAUGCAGAAAUAGAUAAGAUUGUGUAAACACCUUUAGCUUGCUUUGGCUGAUUGUGUAAGCAUUCACUUGCUUUAAUUCCGGUCAGCUUCAUGGGCAGAAGGAUAUGUACAGCUUACUGCAUCACUGGUAAAAGUGGAGCAAUCCAUUCGCUUCCUUGAUACACCCUCCCAUGGUUAAGAAGGCCACUAAUAACAUGUCAGUUUACUUAUCGCAGAAUUCUUAUUUAGUUGACAUCCUUUAUGUUUACACUAACUGGUCCAGUGAUUCCAUGUUAGAAGUGUGCCAUCAUAUGUCUGUUUUAUACAGUGUUAACUUUUGUCCAGACCCACAUUUUGUACAUUCAUAUAAGUAUUGAUGAUCAGUUAUUCAAUGGAAGGACAAACGGUACAUGAUUAGCGAGCUGAGUGGUGACAAGGAUGAAAUUCUCUUGAGUAUAUGAUACUCCACAUUGGCAUCAAAGGCGCAUGAGCAGUGUCCUUAAAACUUGGUAAGUAUUGACAAAAAAUGUUCAACCAUUACUGCGGUUCCCAGAUGCACAGCAGCGGUGCGGCGAUUCCCAUAUGCACAAGGGUGGCGUGACGACUGCGAGAUGUACAGAAGUGGCAUGGCUGCUCUACAGUGAUGGUUCGUAUUGCAGCACCGAACUUGGCCAUAUUCCUACUGUACAAUGCAAGAUGCAGCCGCUAGAAGCUAUACAGGUUAUAGAAACUGGAUUGUUCCAGGCAGUGACGACGUUACAUGAUGACUGUGAUGUCAAAGGACAACACAUGGUUCAGAUUCCUAAGAUAUUUUGACAAUGCAUGGCUCCGAUGUUGAUUGGAAGGUCGAGAAUGGUGUUGCUGCUGGAUAGUCUUAUGUUAUAUUUUAGGAUAUCAUUUCGAGUGCAAAAGUUUCAAACAUCAUUUUAGAAUAGCUGCGACGUUGAUUGAAACGUCUAGAAUGGGGCUAGUACUAGUUAUUAUCACAAUGUGUAAUCUUUGAUCAUGUUCUUUGUAAUGCAACAGAGCAAAUAUAAUAUAUUAGACCUUUCUCUUCA